rnacentral:tRNA from 1 species
AGUAAAGUGGCAGACAAUUGCCUUAGAUUUAAGCUCUAAUCAUGGGGUAUACCCCCUUUACUA